rnacentral:rRNA from 1 species
UACGGGGGGGGCAAGCGUUGUUCGGAAUUACUGGGCGUAAAGGGCUCGUAGGCGGCCAACUAAGUCGGAUGUGAAAUCCCCGGGCUCAACCUGGGAACUGCAUUGGUGACUGGCGGGCUAGAGUAUGGCAGAGGGGGGUGGAAUUCCACGUGUAGCAGUGAAAUGCGUAGAGAUGUGGAGGAACACCGAUGGCGAAGGCAGCCCCCUGGGCCAAUACUGACGCUCAUGCACGAAAGCGUGGGGAGCAAACAGG